GAUGAAGAACGCAGCGAAAUGCGAUACGUAAUGUGAAUUGCAGAAUUCAGUGAAUCAUCGAGUCUUUGAACGCACAUUGCGCCCCCUGGUAUUCCGGGGGGCAUGCCUGUCCGAGCGUCAUUGCUGCCCUCAAGCACGGCUUGUGUGUUGGGCCUCCGCCCCCCGGCUCCCGGGGGGCGGGCCCGAAAGGCAGCGGCGGCACCGCGUCCGGUCCUCGAGCGUAUGGGGCUUCGUCACCCGCUCCGUAGGCCCGGCCGGUGCCCGCCGGCGACCCCCCUCAAUCUUUCCAGGUUGACCUCGGAUCAGGUAGGGAUACCCGCUGAACUUAAGCAUAUCAAUAAGCGGAGGA
rnacentral:misc_RNA from 1 species